rnacentral:rRNA from 1 species
UUGACCUCGGAUCAGGUAGGGAUACCCGCUGANCUUAAGCAUAU